CUGAUUCACCUUUUGUUUGCUUAUAUGCUUAUUACAGGUGGUUUCGUGUGGAGACAAACUAUGAUCAUUGGACUACUCCUCCUCCUUUUGAUGAUCGCAGAACUGCAGCCAUCAAAGCUCUCAAUGCUACUGGACAGCACAACAUCAACUUGGAUACACUAUUUAAGGUAUUUCUCAAAUUCUGUGUUGUGGGCUGCUCUUCAAGUUCUUUGACAAAGCAGAAGUGUUCUUUCAUCAGGGAUGUAAAAGCUGUGCUUUACUGUGGGGAGCCAAGUUUACUGCACAGGUGUCUCUAGGGGUUUGAAGAAUGAAAAUUGUUCAAAAUGCUUCUGGACUCCUAUUUAGGCAAUUUGCUGAGGUUUAGCAAUUCAGGUGGAGAGUGCAGGGGGUGAAUCCCAUCAUCUUUGUGCAGUUUCUUAUUUCAAGCACAGGCACUUAGGGUUAAACAUGGUGAGCUUUGGAAAUUUGUAUGUCUUUCAGAGGGCUUUUUUGAAACUACUUCUGUAAAAUGGUCUGAUGUU